UACGUAGGCGGAAUAUUAAGUCAGUGGUGAAAUCCUGCAGCUUAACUGUAGAAUUGCCAUUGAUACUGAUCUUCUUGAAUUUAGUUGAGGUGGGCGGAAUGUGUAAUGUAGCGGUGAAAUGCUUAGAUAUUACACAGAACACCGAUUGCGAAGGCAGCUCACUAAACUAACAUUGACGCUAAGGUACGAAAGCGUAGGGAGCGAACAGGAUUAGAUACCCUGGUAGUCC
rnacentral:rRNA from 1 species